rnacentral:rRNA from 1 species
AUGUGGAGAGGCAGCGCCACUGCCGCCUCCACCGCGAGGGCUCUCCGCUUGGGCUUGCUCGCUGAUCCCAUCCGCAACCCCUCUACGGUUGUUCUUCCCAUCGCUUCAGCGCGGGCCACCUGCUCGGUACCCUCUGCCACCUCCCCUGCACCAUCCGUUGCUGAAGCGGCGGCCUACUCGGUAGCUGUUUCGUCGGGAGCCAGAUCCGCCUCUGACGUGCUGCGGCACUACAGGUGCUACUGGGAGCUCUCCAAAGCCCGUCUCAGUGCACUUGUUGUGGCAACAACAGGAGCUGGACAUGUGCUCGGGAGUGGCAGCAUUGUAGACAUUGCUGGACUAUGCUACACAUGCACUGGUACCAUGAUGGUUGCAACAUCUGCCAACACUCUCAACCAGGUGUUCGAGAUAAAUAAUGAUGCUAAAAUUAAAAGGACAAUGCGACGGCCCCUACCAUCAGGGCGUAUUAGUCCUGUGCAUGCUGCCAUGUGGGCUACAAGUGUUGGAGUUGCAGAAACAACAUUACUGGCUUGCAAGUCUAAUGGCUUAGCUGCUGGGCUUGUAGCAUCCAAUCUCAUCAUGUAUGCAUUUGUAUACACUCCAUUGAAGCAAAUACACCCUGUCAAUACAUGGGUGGGAGUAGUUGUUGGCGCCAUUCCACCACUUCUAGGGUGGGCAGCAGCAGCAUCUGAAGUGUCACUCAACUCUAUGCUUCUACCUGUUGCUUUGUACUAUUGGCAGUUACCACAUUUCAUGGCCCUUGCGUACUUAUGCCGCGAUGACUACCUUGCUGGAGGGUAA